rnacentral:rRNA from 1 species
UACGGAGGGGCGAGCGUUAUUCGGAAUUAUUGGGCGUAAAGGGCGCGUAGGCGGCUGUACAAGUCAAAGGUGAAAUCCCUCGGCUCAACUGAGGAACUGCCUUUGAAACUGUACGGCUUGAGGCCGGGAGGGGUAGCGGAAUUCCCAGUGUAGCGGUGAAAUGCGUAGAUAUUGGGAGGAACACCAGUGGCGAAGGCGGCUACCUGGACCGGUUCUGACGCUGAGGCGCGAAAGCGUGGGUAGCAAACAGG